UCAUUACGAUUACUUGAAAAGUCGACUGGGAUAAGUCGAGAGUUAGUCGACUUAUCGAUUGAUAGUCGACUAUCUGUGUCCAUGGUGCCGACAGAACGUCGGAUGUCAAGACUCGUAGAAAUUGUAGUUGAAUCGGAGUUCAUUCUGCAAUCUGGCUGUAAUUAUCCAUCGUUAGCUACCGACAUAGAGUCGAGAUGACCGACAGUGAAUCGGGGGAGCUAAAUCAGGGGGAGCAGGUUUAGUUGUUUCAACAGUUGCCCUCCAUUUUCAAGUUCAAGGUGGUUUGUCACGUGGUUCGACACGUGGCUUGAUAUGUUGGAUGAUGUGAGUCAUCAUGUUUCGUUUCGAACCUCGAUUCUAUGAUCGAUUCGACCACAAGCAUUAAUGAUUCACUCAAAAAAUCGAAGUCUCCAGCCGUUUUGUCGUUUUGAUGAUCGUGUGAUCAUCAUUGAGGCAUCAAUUUAAGGGAAC
rnacentral:lncRNA from 1 species